AGAGUUUGAUCCUGGCUCAGGAUAAACGCUGGCGGCGUGCCUAAUACAUGCAAGUCGAACGAGGAGUCCUUGUAGCAAUACGUCCUUAGUGGCGAACGGGUGAGUAACGCGUUGGUGACCUGCCCCGAAGCGGGGGAUAACAGUCCGAAAGGACUGCUAAUACCCCAUGUGGUCUCAGGGAUUAGAUGCCCUGAGUCUAAAGGAGUAAUCCACUUUGGGAGGGACCUGCGUCCCAUCAGCUAGUUGGUGGGGUAACGGCCUACCAAGGCUGCGACGGGUAGGGGGCCUGAGAGGGUGGCCCCCCACAUUGGCACUGACACACGGGCCAAACACCUACGGGUGGCAGCAGUAGGGAAUAUUGCACAAUGGGCGAAAGCCUGAUGCAGCAACGCCGCGUGUGCGAUGAAGGCCUUCGGGUCGUAAAGCACUUUUUGAGAAGAUGAUACAAGACAGUACUCUCAGAAUAAGUCUCGGCUAACUACGUGCCAGCAGCAGCGGUAACACGUAGGAGACAAGCGUUAUCCGGAUUUACUGGGUGUAAAGCGCGUGCAGGCGGUCUGGUAAGUUGGAUGUGAAAGCUCCUGGCUUAACUGGGAGAGGUCGUUCAAAACUGCCGGACUUGAGAGCAGUAGAGGGAGGUGGAAUUCCCGGUGUAGUGGUGAAAUGCGUAGAUAUCGGGAGGAACACCAGUGGCGAAAGCGACCUCCUGGACCGUACCUGACGCUCAGACGCGAAAGCUAGGGUAGCAAACGGGAUUAGAGACCCCGGUAGUCCUAGCCGUAAACGAUGUGAACUUGGCGUUGGUGGGUUAAUAUCCGCCAGUGCCGUAGCUAACGCGAUAAGUCAACCGCCUGGGGACUACGAUCGCAAGAUUAAAACUCAAAGGAAUUGACGGGGGCCCGCACAAGCAGCGGAGCGUGUGGUUUAAUUCGAUGUUACACGAAGAACCUUACCCAGGUUUGACAUAACGACGAACGAUUGC
rnacentral:rRNA from 1 species